rnacentral:lncRNA from 1 species
CCACUAAAUGACAUAUUUUCCUCUGGCUUUCACUAUUUAUGGUACAGCGCCAGGGUGGUGCAGUUUUGUCCUGCACACAUGUUUUUAAUGAGAGAAGGGAGGAAACCAUGCCAUUUUUGUAGUUUCAAAGGCAUGAGAAAUAGGAAGUGGUUUCAGGAGGGGCAGAAAAAGUGGGCAGUCUACUGUUGCUGCCUCCUCAGUGUGUGACGUGACAUUUAAGACAUCAGGCCUAUAAUCCCAACACAUUGGGAAGCCGAGGCAGGAGGGUCACUUGAGGCCAGGAGUUCAAGACCAGCCUGGGUAACAUAGAGAGAUCCUGUCUCUACCAAAAAAUUUUUCAAAAAAUUACCUGAGGCAGGAGGGUCCCUCGCACCAAGGAGUUUGAGGCUGCAGUGAGCUCGCUAUGAUCACGCCACUUCACUCCAGCCUGGGAGACAGAGUGAGACACUGUAUCAAAAAAAGAAAAAAAAGAAGAAGAUAAAGAAGAGAAAAAGAAGAAAAAGAAGAAGAAGGAGAAGGAGAAGAAGGAAAAAGUACUCAGCCACAGUGUGAGCUUGUGAAGUGCAUCUGAGAUGGAUUCACAAAGAUCUAGUGAAAGGAACAAAACCACAGGGAUGAACUGACAAAGUUCAAACAGGGACUGAUAAAUCCGGAGAAAUGAUGAGCUCCAAAGGAGGGUUCAGUGUGGGUACCACCAACCUCUUGCACUACUCAGACCUAUUUGUCCUUUCUUAUUAAUAUGAAGCUCCAGGUAUACAUAAUAAUUCCAUAUUUUAAAAUAAAGGUGUUCUCACUCUUUCUCUUGGAGGAGAGGUGGAAGUCCAACAAUGCACACUCAAUGUGGUGGCCAGUUGUGAUCUCCUGGAAGACUAAAGCAAGGGAGUUUGUAGAACAAGCUACAAUACCACUACAGUAUAGUUUGUCUAGAGGGCACAGCUGAUAUUUCUCCACUGCUAUCUCCACUAUCCAUUCUAGUUUCCCCUCAUCCUUGUCUAGCAUGUUAGCUGGUCUGAGCUGCUUGCCUGGUGAGGUGACCUCGACCUUAAUCCCAAAGGCCUGAGUGUUUAGUUGCUAUAUUCUUUUUCAAGUAUGUUUGCUGAAGUUGCUCAUAGAUAGUCAUUACCACACAUGCAAGUAUGAAGAGACACCCCAAUGAUUUCCACGGAUUCCAGAUUGGCCUGCAUAGUAUGGUGGUCACCCUUUCUCCUCACAGUGACAGGGUAAGUUACCACAGCCACUAUAGCAAUGCUCUCCCUGGCCUAUUGCUCUACCAAUACACGACGAGCUAAAAGUAAUUAGAUGGUAGUCACAGCACCCAGUUUAGUAGAACUUACUGUAUU